UCUCGGGAAGGUGAUGUUCACCGAGAACCACGUCACCACCAUUAGCGCACGCUACAUCCCUAUUGCAGUGGAGAUCGCGAAUGCAACUUGUGGUGACGACAUCACAAAGAGGAGUUGGGGUUCGGCUGUCUUAGCGGCUACGUACCGAGGUAUGUGCAACGCUUGCCAACUUGCGUCGCCCAAGUCAGCCCUGCUUGGAUGUCCUUUAUUGUUGCAGCUCUGGUCUUGGGAGAGGUUUUCUAUCGGCCGACUAGACGUUACGGGUGAUCACGCUAACCCUAAGCAGGAGUUGUUUGACUUAGAACACAUCGACCUGCCUACUUUCGCGACAAUUUGGACAUGUAACAAGAGACGCUUUGCACACGAUCAGGUCAGGAGUUGCUUCCCAUCAUUCAACGAGCAGUUCGACGUGUUGCACUCUGAGGCGGUUGUCUGGGAGCCGUACACACAGCACGCCAUCGAUGUUAGAUACCCUGGCGGGAUGUCCAUGGUCUGCAUGAGAGAUUACACUUACUGGAUGACAAAAUCAAAGAUCAUCUUCGACGUCUGCGUGGAGGAGAUGGCCCAGCAGAGGGUCAUGAGGCAGUUUGGGGCACGCCAGUUGGUCGUUCCUCUACCGACGAAGGAUCCACUUCCACCGAUCGUCCACAUGUUUACCAGGAAGGGAAGUACCAGGUCACAGAGUGGGAGACUGCGAUGACACGGGUUUGGCCAUUGGAGGCCUUUGAUCUCGAUCUAUUCAACGGCUAUUUGCAAAGGUACAUGACAGCUACCCGAUUGAGCAUCAUUCAACACUCUCACCCUAGGAGAUAGCCGAGCCGAGUUUGCAAGAUAUGUACCUUAGCCAGUCUACUUCAGGCUCUAGACAACACGCGGCUCAGUUGACACAGAUUUACAGGCCGAGUUCGCUGCGUAUGGAUGUUCGCUUUCGACCGGUCCACUUCUACUACCACGGGAGCCGCACCAGUCCUGGAUAAGACGAAUGGAGGAGAAGCCACGCUUUGUUUACGCAGCUAUCAUGUGCACCCACACUUCAGACGUCGUUCACCACCAGGCAUCUGUACGGCCCCUGCGUCCCUCCACGCACCAGCAGCGGCCACGUCAGCAGGAAGCACCGCACCUCCGACACCACUCGCGUCCACGUCUACCAGAGCAGUCAACGCCCAGGCCACCACCUCCUGAGCAGGCCGAAGGUUCGUUGUGGCACCAGUCGCAGUCUUCUUUGGACUAUUGGCACCAGCAGCAGCCCUCUUUUCAGGCUGGAGGUUCGGCGUGGCAGCACCAGCAGAGUCCCACGAUGAACUUUGAGUUUCGUCCACAGACCUAGCCACAGGGAGCCUACGGCAUCAGUCGUCGUUGU